AACGAACGCUGGCGGCAGGCUUAACACAUGCAAGUCGAGCGCUCCGCAAGGGGAGCGGCAGACGGGUGAGUAACGCGUGGGAAUCUACCCAUCUCUACGGAAUAACGCACGGAAACGUGUGCUAAUACCGUAUACGUCCUUCGGGAGAAAGAUUUAUCGGAGAUGGAUGAGCCCGCGUUGGAUUAGCUAGUUGGUGGGGUAAAGGCCUACCAAGGCGACGAUCCAUAGCUGGUCUGAGAGGAUGAUCAGCCACACUGGGACUGAGACACGGCCCAGACUCCUACGGGAGGCAGCAGUGGGGAAUAUUGGACAAUGGGCGCAAGCCUGAUCCAGCCAUGCCGCGUGAGUGAUGAAGGCCCUAGGGUUGUAAAGCUCUUUCACCGGUGAAGAUAAUGACGGUAACCGGAGAAGAAGCCCCGGCUAACUUCGUGCCAGCCGCCGCCGUAAAAC
rnacentral:rRNA from 1 species